rnacentral:misc_RNA from 1 species
UUUGUCAAGAAUUUCCAGCUUGAUGACCUUCCACUAAUACACUGCUUACUCAUCACGCAAAGCCUUGAUGAUCAUUGUCAUCUCAACACAUUAAAGCCUCUCUCCCGCAAGUUCCCAAACCUCACUGUUAUAGCUACUCCAAAUGCUAAGACACUGCUCGAUCCUCUGUUCACCAAUGUCAUCUACUUGGAACCUGGACAGGAUUCCGCGAUUGAAGUGAGUAAUGGGUUCCAGGUUAAAAUUAAGGCUACGGCAGGGCCAGUUCUUGGACCUCCUUGGCAGCGACCUGAGAAUGGAUAUCUUGUCACUUCUCCAAAAGGUGCUCUUACUCUCUACUAUGAACCUCACUGUGUCUAUGACAAGAGCACCUUAGAGAAACACAGGGCAGAUAUUGUUAUCACUCCUGUCAUAAAGCAACUUCUACCAAAUUUUACAUUGGUUUCGGGACAAGAAGAUGCAGUUCAACUAGCAAAAUGCCUUUUUGCCAGGUUUGUUGUGCCGAUGAAGAAUGGUGACCUCGACAGCAAAGGGCUUCUCGCUAGUAUUGUAAAAUCUGAAGGAACAAUGGAAUCAUUCAAGCAACUUUUGUCAAAGGAACUACCAGAUGCAAAGGUAGUUGAACCUACUCCUGGAGAACCACUGGAUAUCUCAAUACCUGUACAUGGACAAUAAGAGGAUGUAUGUUUGUUUAUCUUCAAUUAUAUUUUUGUGAACUUAAAAAAGUAUCAAACACCUAAAAUAUAAGCCAAAUGCUAUUUAGGCGAUGAUCAAGAGUAUAUGUAUGUAAAUAAUAAGAGAUUUUUAUUUCAUA